CAGAAUCACAACGCUGACAUGUAUAUAGUUCAAGGGGAAACCACACCAUUGGAGUGAUGUAUGUUGGCAGCUGAUAAGUUAUUUAUCACCAGGUAACAGACUGAUCAAUUUCACGCCUGGAGGUUUUUCUCUUCACCUGCUUCACACGCACACCCUGCUCUUUCUCUCUGCCCCACCACUAACUCUGAGAGAGAGAGAGAGAGAGAGAGAGAGAGAGGAGAGCACAAAAUAUUUUUCUAAUUAAAUAAAUGUAUGGUACCCACAUUAGCAGCAGCCAGCCUUGUGAGCCUGCAACCGGGUGAAGGGGGGUGCGCGCGGGUGUUGCGUUGGGUGGAAAGGAGUCGAGGGAAGCGAGACUGAAAUAAUGAUUUUAUUUUUUCAUUAAAUAGAAUUAUAGGCAGUUACUCAAAGCAACUGUGGGCCUAAUUGAAAGAAAACCAUUUCUUCUUAAUUUACUUUCACGGUUCCGGAUGAUAAAAGAGCGUGCUGGCUGGAAAAUUAAAUAAUAAUAAUAAAAAGAAACACGGCGCAGCUCCAGAAAAGUUUGACAUAAUGACAGGCAGGCACAGGUGGAGCAAGGCAGGAGGCGAUGCACAUUCCCUUUUCACUUUAACAAGAUGUCGUUAAAACGCCAGAUUGGGGGGGGGGCAGAGGACCCAACCUCCCUUGGCCAACCCCAAACUCGCCUCUCUUCCCAGGAUUCAUGCCAGUAUUUCACCAGUAGCGAAACCGGAGGAGAACAGGGCCACAUGUAAACCAUGUCUUUAAAGAGCUAGGGUGCUGCUUUAAGCAGUCAUGAAUCCCCCACAAAUAAUUUUGCAAAAUGUAGUUAAGGUUGUCCAACGAUGUUAGAAGAUCCCUGUCCCCACUGCUCCCAGGGCUACAAUUUCCCAAGUUACCUGCUAAACCCCUCUGGGAAUUGUAGGUGUGGGAGAAGGGAAUAGGGGUUACCUAACCACUCUCAGCACCCUUCACAAAUGGCAGCUUUCAGGAUUCUUCAGGAGGGAGCCAUGAUUGUUUGAAGUGGCAUGAUCCUGCUUCAAAUGUAUGGCAUGGCAGGGCUGCAUGUGGCUAAGUCCUUUCACAGAGCAAGGGAUGGAAGGAUCUGCCAAUUUCCACUCUCUCAGUUUCUCAUUUCUCCAAUCUUAAAUUCUGUUCUCCAGAAUUCGCAGCCAUUUGCAAUGUUUUGAUUUUUUAAAAAAAAACUCCGCAUGAAGAUUCAUUAGCAUUUUGGUGUGAUUCUUUUCCUAAUAAACUCUUUUUUUUUUUUUUACACAGCUUUGACAAAUGUACCCAUCUGUGCAAUCAAUUUCCCUUAGUAUAAUGCAUUUUAGAUGUUAUUUUCACUAAUAUCCUCAUGUGUGCAUUUCUUUGUAAACAUAGGUUGAAGAACUGCACUGAAAUUUUUUGAUAAGUGCAUAAUUUUAAUGCUAGCUGUUUUUUGGUUCAUAGAUUGUUUCAGAAAUUGAAGAUAAUGAUACAUUCAGUUUUAAAUGCAUACUGAAAUUCUCCUCUAUUCUUACUCAGUGUAGACCCAAUGGAAUAAAUAAACCCAAGUUCAUUAACUCCAGUGCGUCUAUUCUGAGUAGAGCAUGCAUUGGCUGCAACCCAAAGCAAUUCUUGUGUAAGAAACAAAAUUAAGAUUAUAUUACAAGCGGAAGAGAUGGGAGAAUCUGUCAAUUUCAGUCCCCAUCCCCCCCAGAUCUUGAGUUCAGGUCUCCACAUUUUUACAUCAGCUUCAGUUUUAUUUAUUUAAGUCUUUAUGAAUAUUUGUCAGAAAUUUAGUUCAUAGUUCUUUUAAUACACACAUUUCUGUAUGCAAUUUUGCCUAAUAUACACAUUUCACAUUGCAUCUUUUGUAUGUUAUUUUCAAUAAUACUUUAACCUGAUGAUUACAUUUCUUUACACACUAUUUGGUUGGGGAACCACAUCACAAAAUUUGGAGAAGUGCAGAUUUUGAAGGAUAGCUGUGCUUUCAGUUCACGUACAAUUUCAGGAAGUGCAAAAAUAGGUAGAUUUGUCUUUAAAUGUCCACUAAAUGACCGGUGACAUUUUGGGGGAUCAUCUGCAGAUCACUGACAUGUUACUAGGGAUGUCUGUGGAAUUUAAUAUCUGUGAAUUCCAAAGCACACAGACAUAAUCUGUUCUUCCCAGGCCAAUGAGCAGAUUGGAAGGCAAUGGUUGUUCAGAUUUUGCAUGUCUCCGAACUGUUAGAUACAGUGGUGCCCUGCAAGACGAAUGCCUCGCAAGACGGAAAACCCGCUAGACGAAAGGGUUUUCCGUUUUUGAGUUGCUUCGCAGGACGAAUUUCCCUAUGGGCUUGCUUCGCAAGACGAAAAUGUCUUGCGAGUCUUGAGAUUUCCCCCCCGCUUCCCCCCCCCCAUUUUCUAAGCCGCUAAGCCACUAAUAGCCUUUUAGCAGCUAAGCCGCUAAGCCGCUAAGCCUUUAAUAGCCGCUAAACCGCUAAUAGCGCUAAUCCGCUAAGCCGCUAAUAGGGUUGCUUUGCAAGACGAAAAAACCGCUAGAUGAAGACACUCGUGGAACAGAUUAAUUUCGUCUUGCAAGGCACCACUGUAUAGUCUGAAACUCAAAAAGAAGGAUCGAAAUGGGUUGGAGCCUCCAUACAUUAAGAAAAAAGAUGCUAUGAAAAAUCAAGGCAAAUUUUUUUUGAUAAAAUCAAUAUAGAAUGAAGUAUACAGUUUUUGUGUGCAGAUUUCUCUUUAAAAAAAUCAGGAGGUCAAUGUUGAAAUGGAUUUAUGGACAAACAUGUACACAAUUGGAAUAAAUGGAUCUGACCAUCCCUAGCUGCCACUAGAUUUUGCCCGGAGUGAGCUUUGGAGUCAAAGUUGAACCAAACAUCAAUAAAUAGAAAUCUGAAAAUAGUGUACAGAGGCAAGCAGUAUUUCUCAGGAUGCAGGUAUGCUUUGUCUAAGGUAGGGCUCAGCGUUCUCUCAGAAUACUUUCAGCUGCAAUCUUGGGGUGCUAGGUGAAAAGGGACUCUCCUACAAUGGGGGCGCACUCCAGUGAGAGUUAUUGGGGAGAAAACACUUUGCAGUGUGAUGGGACUUUAACUGCAAUGCUGCUCCAGGGGAUUCUGGGAACAGCGGCUGCAAAAUGGUGGCCAUCAGAGGGAGCCUACUAACUGCACUGACAAACAAUGUUUUCCAGAGCAUUUAAAGUAUCAUUGAAUCCAGCGACUGAGUAUAUGCCCACGCUUCCCAGGCGGGGGGUGCUCCGGGGGGGUGCAGGAUGCGGAGGAUGCCAGGGCGGAGCAACCCACCCACAGGGGUGGAGUGGGCCGCCGAUGGCACACAUUUGGCACGCCGCCCACCUGCAACUCCCAAGCCUCCCUCAAGCUGUCAAAACAAAGGGGGAAGAGGGGAAUACCACCAGCAAAGCAGCGUGGCUGCCCCUUCCCCUGAUGGCUUGGGGUAGGCUUGGGAGUCGCGGGCAGGCGGCGUGCCAAAUGUCACUCCCUUCAGUGAAGACACCCGGGGCGGUCCGCCCCCACCACAUGCCACUUCCUCCGCCUCUGAUUGAAUCACAGAAUUGUAGAGUUGGAAGGGGCACCAGGCAUCAACUAGUCCAUCUAGAUGCUGUUUGUGCCCUCCAGAUGGGGCUGAUGGAAGUUGUCAUCCACAGAUAGAUGGGAAUUGAUGGAUUGAAGGUUCCCCAUUCCUGCUGCAACAUUUCUCCAAUGAAAAUAGGGACAUCUUAUUUAAUAAUAAUAAUAAUAAUAAUAAUAAUAAUAAUAAUUAUUAUUUUACUAUUUAUACCCUGCACAACGGACUGUGUUGCCACUGCCACUCUGGGUGGCUUCUAACAUACAGUGGUACCUCAGGUUACAGACGCUUUAGGUUACAUACGCUUCAGGUUACAGACUCUGCUAACCCGGAAGUAGUACCUCGGGUUAAGAACUUUACUUCAGGAUGAGAACAGAAAUCGCACGGCGGCGGCACGGCGGCAGCGGGAGGCUCCAUUAGCUAAAGUGGUACCUCAGGUUAAGAACAGUUUCAGGUUAAGAAUGGACCUCCAGAACAAAUUAAGUUCUUAACCUGAGGUACCACUGUAUAUAAAAAAAGGAUUAUAUAUUAAAACAAAACUUCCCUAUACAAGGCUGCUUUCAAUUGUCUUCCAAAGGUUGUACAGUGGUACCUCGGGGUACAGGCGCUUCGGGUUACAAACUCCAUUAACCAAGAAGUGGUUGCUCCAGGUUAAGAACUUUGCUCCAGGAUAAGAGUGGAAAUUGCACACCAGAAGCGCAGUGGCAACAGGAGGCCCCAUUAGCAAAAGCACACCUCAGGUUAAGAACCGUUUCAGGUUAAGAACAGACCUCUGGAACGAAUUAAGUUCUUAACCCGAGGUACCACUGUAUAGUUACUUAUCUCCUUGGCUUUGGGGGGCGGGUCACAUAACUCCAUUCUGUCCAACGAAAAUAGAGAUGUCCUACCAUACCCUCCAACAUUUCUCCGAUGAAAAUAGGGACGGCCUAAGGAAAAGUGGGACCUUCCGGGAUCAAAUCAGAAACUGAGAUGGCGUCUGUGAAUCCGGGACUGUCCAUGGAAAACAGGGACACUUGGAGGGUCUGCUGCUCUAGGAACAUAGGAAACUACCAUCUACAGAGUGAGAGGUUUGAGCCAAUCUAGAUCAGUCUUGUCUGCUUAUUGUUUAAAACCUCUGGAAGGCAUCAUGCCUACCAUCCAAUCCACAUUCUGCAAGCUCCCUAUCUUUAGGAAAUACUUUUCAACAUGGGCAUGUUUACACCCACACCAACAUAGAGGAUUCUGGGGCACCCAUCAGAAGGGACUAAUGGGAGUUGUAGUCCAAGACAGCUGGUGGGCACCAGGUUGGAGAAGAUUGUUCGCCGUGAAUCAGCUCAUAGAACGUGGAGGGAUCGCAUUUCGAGCAGGAGAGACAGAAAGGAGAGAAAGCCCAAUUUUGGCAGAGGAGAGAGAGAGAAGGAAGAAGUUUAUAGGAGGAUUGGGGUGGGGGGGGGGAGAGCAGGAGACAUGGUAAGUUAAGCAAAUUUCCAGUUCUUUCCCCAAGAAUUUGCUUCAAAGGCUCUUUCUGCCCUCAGCAAACGUUGGCUGUCAGAGCCCGUCUCCACUCUUAGGCCAGAACAAAACCAACCCUGUGUUCCUGUCCCAGUGGCCAAGGUGAAUGGAGGGUCACUGCCAAGCCGCUACGGUGCUCUCCACCUGAGGCACUCUCUGUGCGUGCAGAAGAGCAGGCUGCCUGGCACGGGGCCACCAUGGAUGGCUGUCUUGGGCCCCCUCUGUGCUGCUGAUUGUAGCUGCAGAUCAAGGAUAAUCUCACCUCUCUUUGGAAAGGCUUCCUUUAACUCCUCCUGCAGUCAGCUGCAUGCGUCAAGCUCCCUUGCAGAGGUGCGGGUGCAUUGACACAAACGCACACACACCACAAUGGUGUAACUAUAUCUCCACUGCCAACCAGGUGAUGGAUCACACACACACACACACACACACACACACCUGUCCUUAAAUUAGGCCCCAGUGAAAGGGCUUUCAGCACCAGGGAAGGCCAAAUUAUUUUUACCCUUAGCCUAACCUCAUUCAUCCCCUGCACAACAUGGAGGAGAUAUGCUCAGGCUUAUCAGCACUACAACAAACCUAUUGUCUGGGCAGGGCAGGAGGGUUUUUUUUUAAAAAAAAAAAGGACAAUGAGAUGCAUUGUUGAUGCUUCAUUGCCAAAACGUUUUCAUAAAGGAUGCCCAGCCCAGGUUUGAGGGAGGGCAUCUGGGCAUCUGCAAAAUCUCCAUUUUCCAUCUCCAGUAUUGCUCAUCUCCUAUGACUCCCUGUAGUUUCAUGCCAUGCCCUUGAAUAAAUAGAUAACAACUGUCAUUUCCUGUUAUCAGCUGAUAGAUGCAACUGUCAAGUCCCAUUAUCAAAAGUAAUUCAGGCACAGAACCCAAUAUAUUCUCUUGAGAAUCUCAGCAUUCAACUGUUGGUUUUCUUCACAAGUUUCUAGCCCUUAUGGAGGCAGAUAUGGUUGCAUGAUGGAAGAUUCAGAACAGACCACGGGAAGAACAUCUUUACAUUGUUUAGUUGUUUAGUUGUGUCCGACUCUUCAUGACCCCAUGGACCAGAGCACGCCAGGCACUCCUGUCUUCCACUGCCUCCCGCAGUUUGGUCAAACUCAUGCUGGUAGCUUUGAGAACACUGUCCAACCAUCUCAUCCUCUGUCGUCCCCUUCUCCUUGUGCCCUCAAUCUUUCCCAACAUCAGGGUCUUUUCCAGGGAGUCUUUACAUAGUGCAUAGAUAAAACUAUAGGAUUUGCUCUAACAAGAGGUAAGGAUGGCCGCCAACUUUGAUUGGACCAGAUCAGUGUUUCCCAAACUUGGGUCCCCAGUUGUUUUUAGACUACAACUCCCAUCAUCCCUAGCUAGCAAAGCCAGUGGUGGAAGAUGAUGGGAAUUGUAGUCCAAAGAUAGCUGGAGACCUAAGUUUUGGGAAGACUGGACCUAUAAGCCUGAUCGAGGAGGACCCUUCUUAUGCUCUUAUGGCUGUGUUUGUGUCUCAUGAAUGGAGCCCAUUUAAACAGCUGUUCAUUUAGAACCAUGAGGACUGGAAACGUACUUUAUCCUAGAGGGGGGUCUGCAGCUCAGAAGUAGAGUAGCUUCCUUUGUAGCAGAAAGGGCUUGUUUGGGGAGAGCAGAGCUGGUGUUUGAUUGGAAGGGGCCCUGGGCUGUGCUUGCUAGAGGGCAGGACAGCUGGGUGGGCAGUGGCUGGCACCAGAGUGGUUCAGCACCAGUGGGGUCAAGCAGCAGCAAGCAGCCCAGACCUCUGAAAACACCAGGCGAGGUAGCUGCAGUGUUUGCCACCUUAAUUUCCCAAGAAUGCCUCUGAAUGUAAGAAGAGCCCUGCUGGAGCAAACCAAGGACCGAUACCACUUGCUGGAAACUGCAAGAGAGAAGAGGGCUGUUGGAGUAGGCUUGUGAAGAUGUAUAAGACUGAAUCAGAUAAGUGCUGGAGAUGCAAUGAGGUCGAGGGUACAUUCUUUCAUAUGUGGUGGAUCUGUAAAAGGGUAAAAAAGCACUGGGAAAUAAAUUAUAAUGAAUUGAAAAAAAAAAUGUUUAAAAGCACUUUUCUUAAAAACAACAACCCCAAAACAGAGUCCUUUUUGUUGGGAAUAAUUCAGAUGGAAAUUCCCAGGUGUCAAAAAAAGGUUAUUUAUGUAUGCCAUGACGGUGGCCUGUGUUUUUUUAGCCCCCAAAUGGAAAACGAGCGAGGUCCCAACCAAAGGAGAAUGGCAACUUAAACUGAUAGAAUAUGUGCAGCUUGUGGAUCUAAUUUAUAGAAUAAGAGAACAAGAAGAACAUUCGUUUAAAGAAGAUUGGAAAAUGUUUAUUGAAUAUAUGGGGGGGAUUGGCAGCAUUAAGAUAAAUGCAACAGUGUGAAUAAGUUUUGAAGGAAGUAAUAAUGGAAUACGGAAUGGUUUAGUUUAUAUAAAAUAUGCAGGGAUUUAUGCUGUGCAAAAUGAACCGUGGAAAGAGAAGAAAGGAAGUCAUUGAUAUUUUAAGGUUGUUUAAAUGAAUAUUCUAAAUUGUGAAAGAGAAAAUUUAAUAAAAAUUAUAUAAAAGAAGAAGAGAGAAGAGGGCUAUUGUACUCAGGUCUUGCUGGUGGGCUUCUCAGGGGCAUGUGAGAAGAGGGUGUCCUGGACAAGGAGGGCCACUGGCCUGAUCCAGCACCCAAACCCAUCUUACUUUCUUAAUUGGUUUCUUGAUGUAAAAACUCCACAAAGCUUUGUUGCAGAGCAUUUUCUGCAGAGUAACUUUCUGUCAAGCUCCUUCCAUGUAGUGAUGGCCACUGACUUGGGUGGCUUUAAAAGAGGACUGGGCAAAUUCAUGGAGGAGAAGUCCAUCAAUGGCUGCUAGCCACCAUGGCUAUGCUGUACGCUGACAGCUGGAGGCAAUAAUACUGGGAAUAGCAGGUAUGGAAAGCGGAGUGGUAGAGCUUCUCCUUUGUAUGCAGAAGGUCCCAGGUUCAGUCUCAAACAUCUCCAGGUAGGGAGAGCCAGGAGAACCACUGCCUGUUCAUAAUACUGAGCUAGAUGGAUGUCAUGUCAGGCAGCUUCCUACAUUUGCUUGGCCACUAUGAGAACUAGGUGCUGGACUAGAUGGGCCUCUUCUGGCUUGACCCAGCAGGGCUCUUCUUACUUAAAAAUCUGUGGACACUUGGACACUGCAUAGCGGAGCAACAGAAGGACUGGGAAAAGAGGUGGCUUUAAUUCUUAACUGUUUUCCUUUACAAAUGCAAAUGUAAUGAUGCAAAUUCAGCUCACUAGUUUGCAUACAUUAUGCAGGUUGCAGAGUCCAACUUUUGGGAAACUCCACCCCCCCCGGGCUACGUAGAGCCCUCAAGGGGUGUGCACUUUCUGAUAUACCCCUGACCCUUUUCAAAUUCCUUUUAAGAUACCUUCUCAUUAGUCAACGCCAGAGCCAGCCCAGCUCCUAAGUGCAGCUGCUCUCAGCAAGAUGCAGAGGUUCCAGCAGCAAGCUGAAAAAGUUACAGUCACCCGACAACAUCUUUUGCCCGCCUGCUGUUUGAGCAGCCAACAAAAGCUGGGGCUCGCCUUUGAAUACAGCAUUGUCCCUGGUUUAGCAAGGGAGGGAAACUUUUGAAAGCAUGGAGCUAGAGCAUGGGUAGGCAAACUAAGGCCUGGGGGCUGGAUCUGGCCCAAUUGUCUUCUCAAUCCAGCCCGCGGACGGUCUGGGAAUCAGCAUGCUUUUACAUGAGUAGCAUGUGUCCUUUUAUUUAAAAUGCAUCUCUGGGUUAUUUGUGGGGCCUGCCUGGUGUUUUUACAUGAGUAGAAUGUGUGCUUUUAUUUAAAACGCAUCUCUGGGUUAUUUGUGGGGCAUAGGAAUAAGUUCAUUUCCCCCCCUCCAAAAUAUAGUCCAGCCCCCCACAAGGUCUCAGGGACAGUGGUGCCAUCGGUAAUGGCGGACUCCCUCUGAUCCGGAGGGACUAGCUCCGCGGAAAACGGGUCUUCCCGCUACGGCGAAGUGGGGACCCUUUGAAAAAUCACAGGCGGAUGAAGCCUGUGACCAUGGGACUCGGCGGGCACCUUUCGCGCCCCCCCAACUCGUAAAGGAACCCAGUUACGGGCUCCGGAGCGAAGAGGGGCAAGUGGUGCAGUGCUGAGAGUCAACUGCUUCUUCCGUGGAGCGAAGCCGCACAGCCGUUGCCGGAGAGCGCUGCCUUUUUCCUGGGACAAUUUGGCUUUUAAAACAAUUACCCGUGAGUAGUUUAAUUUCGGACAAUUGGACUUUAAAUAAUGAUCUGCGAGUAGAAAGGAAAAUUGGACUAAGAAAUUCUUCUCAAUUUGGCACUGAAACGGGAAGGUCUAAACAGGAAGUCAGCCUUCCGUUUCUUGUAGAUAGAUUAAAGCAAAGACAUGGCAAACUAGAGUUCAGAAAAUCGUUUGUAAAGGAUUAACUUUCAUCAUUUAAAGUUGUUGAACCCCCUUCGGAAGCAGGAGAAGAGGGGGGAUUUUUUCCGGACUGUUUAAACCUGCAGAAGAGAGUGUAAAGAAAAGUAAUUUUCCACCGUCUUGAACCUGGGAGCCGGGUGUCAGGACUGACGUUCUUUGGGAAGCUCAUUGACCAUAGACAAACGUCUUUGACAGAUAGUUAAAAGAAGAGAAACAUAGUGAUUCCAUUGUUCUCCUUCGCAUUUUAAAGGAACAAAUAUUGACAAAAUAUCUGAAAAGGAAACUUUGUUGUUAAAUCUGCCUUUAAAAGAAAAGAACAAAUAGAAGUUCUUCCCCUAGAGGGAGCCUGUGAAACUGUUACUAAAUCUGAAUCGGGGAGCUCUGCAGCUGCAACAGAUUACGAUCGUGGGAACAGACUUCUGACCUUGCAGAACAAUGUAUCCAGAAGCUCUGGUGUGUGCUUUCUGCAAAACAAGUGCCCUAUUGGAACAGCUACAUGAGAAGACGGACUUGAUGACUGUUGCGAUCAGAAAUUUUGGACAGGUAGUGGGUAACUAUAUAGAGCCCACCCAGGAAUCAAAUCAGGAGUGUGCUCUGACAGAUCAGAUGAGGGAAGAGGAUGUUGCUGAACCUCGGGUGCCAGAGAUGGAGGGAGUUGUGGCCCAGCAGGAACAUGAGUUGUUGGAUCUGAUAAAUGAACUUGGAAAAAGCCAGAUUUGGAGAGAUAGAGUUUUGCUUGGUUUGGAAAUGGGGGGUUGGAUAGACCCCCCUAUGCAGGGAUGUUUUGACUUUCCAAGUCUGGCAAUGGGCCGCAAGAUGUUUUGGGUUGUGAGGGCUCUUAAUUCUGGAGGGACUUUGAAACAUGUUUUUAAAUACCACAUGGAGUUUAGUGUGGACUAUGGAAAAGGGGCUGAUUUGUCGAGAAGGGUCAAAAACACUGUCAAGUUGGAGUUCCCACGAGUGAAAGGAGCAGGAGACAAAGUAAAGUACAGGUAUAAAUAUGAAGAGGAGCCGCGGAAGGGACAUGGAAGAGACUUAAGGGCCUCGGACAUAAGAUUACCAGGUUAAUGCGCCAGAUUGAUGGGAUACAAAGGACUGACAAAACCCGGGACCAGGAGGAAGAGACGCUGGAUGAAGAUUGGAAGAAAAUUUGAAUUUUUUUUUUAUUAGGAUUGCUUUAUAAAAUUGAUGAAUGUUAGAAAAAUGUUGGAACGAAAUUAUUUGACUUUAGCAAAAAUGUUAAAAGAAUUAUGUAAGAAUAUGUUAUGGUUAUGAGAAAUUGGUAUAAAUAAGAUGUAAGUUUUAAGUUUUAGGGUUUUUUAUAGUAAGAUAAGGUUAAAAUAGACUAAGGUAAUGUUAUGACAGAAUAUUAUGAAAAAUGGAAAGGAUUUGCUGUGAUAAUAACAACUAGGAUACAAAAAAAGGGAGGAGUGAGGAGGUCAAUGAAAGAAGGCAAUGACAGUUAAGGAUUUGAGAAUAUUGGAUCUGUUUUUAAAUUUUUGUGGCUUAUUUUUGUUUUUUGAUUGUGUUCUGUUACGUGUUUUGUUGUUAUUUUUUGAUUUUGAUUUUUAUCAAUUUGUAUUGUUUGAUUGUGGUUUGUUUUUCUUUUCUUUUUUCUCUUUCUUUUUCUUUUUUGUUUUUUCUGUAAUUUAAAAAUUCUUAAUAAAUAUCAUUUAAAAAAAAAAAACAAGGUCUCAGGGACAGUGGACUGACCCCCUGCUGAAAACGUUUGUUGACCCCUGAGCAAGAGCAACAGGAGUGCAGGGAAUUUUGGAGUCCAUAAUUUAAUCCCUGUAGCCAAAACCUUUUUGAAUGCUGGAAAGAAGGGGGAAAAAAUGUCCAGAAGUGCUACUUUUCUUAGAUACGUUUAUUAGGGGGGGAAUUACAUCUUGUCCUGAGAAAAGUGACUGCCUAAAGUACGAUGUUGAAAACAUCAAACAACACCCUGGAGUUGUGAUCAGUGCUGACAGUGCUCCAAAAUCCUGAUGUGUUGAACCAAGAGAGGGAUGGGGAACCUUUCACCCUCCAGAAGUUGGUGAGGACACAACACCCAUCAGCCCCAGUCAGCAUGGGCCAAUGGUGAGGGAUUAUGGGAAAUGUAGUCCAACAGCAUUGGGAGAGCUGCAAUCUGCUAAUGCCAUUCAAUCAUGCUCCAUUCCCAUAUUGCUGGUAGGGAAACUCAUGCUUGGGAGGCUGAAUGUUAUCAUCUGGGUCUCUCUAUCUUGGACCCCAGUAAUGCUACUUGCUUGCAUGGAUGGAGGAUAGAACCAAGGGAUUCAAAUUACAAGAAAUGAGAUUCCAACUAAUCAUUAGGAAAAACCUUCUGAAUGUAAGAGCUGUUUGACAGUGGAAUGGACUCCCUUGGAAGGUGGUGGAUUCCCCUUCCUUGGAGGUUUAUAAACAGAGGUCGGAUGGCUAUCUGUCAGGGAUUUUCAAGCUGUGAUUUCUGCAAUGCAGGCGGUUGCACUAGAUUACCUUUGGGGUUCCUUCCAACUCUUUGUUGUUGUUGUUUAGUCAUCUAGUCUUGUUCGACUCUUCAAAUAAGUGCAUCCGUUGGGAAAGGGCUGUAGCUGAGUAUUUUGUAUGUUGAAAUCCCUGGCACCUCCAGGUGGGGUUGGGAGAGACUCCCAUCUCAAACUCUGGAGAGGUGCUGCCAUAGAAUACUGAGUGAGAUGGAUCAAUGGUCUGACUAACUAAUUUAGCCUGGACCAAUCCAUUGAUUCCAUCUUAGCAGUCAAUAGCCUUGGAUAACUGUGAGCUAGUGCAGCAGUUGUUGUUGUUUAGUCGUUUAGUCGUGUCCGACUCUUCGUGACCCCAUGGACCAGAGCACGCCAGGCACUCCUGUCUUCCACUGCCUCCUGCAGUUUGGUCAGACUCAUGUUGGUAGCUUCAAGAACACUGUCUAACCAUCUCGUCCUCUGUCGUCCCCUUCUCCUUGCACCCUCCAUCUUUCCCAAUAUCAGGGUCUUUUCCAGGGAGUCUUCUCUUCUCAUGAGGUGGCCAGAGUGCUGGAGCCUUAGCUUCAGGAUCUGUCCUUCCAGCGAGCACUCAGGGCUGAUUUCCUUCAGAAUGGAUAGGUUUGAUCUUCUUGCAGUCCAUGGGACCGUUAGUUCUUCAAGCUCAGUAUUGUCUGCAAUGAGUGGCAGUGGCUGUCCAGGUUUCUGAAGACAGGAGUGCCUCCCAGCCUAGCCCUACUUGAAGAUGCCUGGGAUUGAACUUGGGACCUUCUGCAUGCAAAGCAGAUGCUCUGCCACUGAAUUAUCCCUUCCCUGGAUUUAUAAUUCCUCAUUCUCUCGCAUAUCAAUUUCCUUUUACUAUAGGUAGCUCAAUGCCACCACUUGAGAACCCAAAGAUACAGAUACUUUUUUAAAAAAAUGGAUUUGGGGAAACUUCCUGAAGAAAUAAAAGAUAGUUUCUCCACUUUUCAUUCCAGAUUUCCUCCCACACACCCUUGGUCUUGUUAUGUUACUUUGGUGAUAAGUUGUCGUAAUAACCCAAAGAUAGGUCAUCGCUCACCAUUGUGGAAAUUCAUGAAGAGCAUAAAUCUGAAAUGAGGGCCAUUUGUUUGGUUUGGAGAAUCCAACCUCUCAUACGCUGGACAGAUUCAUUUCCCUUAUCCCUGUCAGUUAAUCAUUCACCAAGUUCACAUAAAUCAAGGGAAGGCCUCUGCUCAGCUUGCCCGGGGAAGUAACGCCAUGCUAGGAGAUUCAGACCUCUUCCCAGCUGCCUACAGAGGCAGUCAAGGUGAUCUGCUUAUCUGAGGUAUUUGCAUUCAGGAGGAGAAAAGUAGAAGAGACUGCAAAAUGCCCUUAUGCCCUACAGCAGGGAUGGGGGAUCUUUGGCCCUCCAGAUGUUGCUGGACUCGAUCUCUUGCCUCAAUCUUAAACAUGUCUACUCAUAAGACACUCUUGUUUAGUUCAGUGGGUCUCACUCCCAAGUAAGUGUACAUUUAGCAGGGGUAGGGGGCCUGUGGCCCUCCAGAUAUUGGUGAACUACAACUCCCAUAGUCCACAUUUUCAGGAGUUGAUGGGAGUUGGUUGUUUGCCAACACUUGGAUGAACCAUGCAGCCUAAAUGAAUGAAGCAGCCUAAAUGACUGAAGGACAGCAGCCUAAAUGAAUGAAGCAAAUACUAUUCCAGUUAAAAUAUGAAGCAAACAAAAUAGGUUCUGAUCUUCAUUUUCUAAUUAAAAAGUAUUUGCAUCACUCAGGUGGCCUCUUGCCUUGUGGUAAAAGGUGAGGUAUCAAUCCAAUAAAUAUCAAAUGGACCUUGGGUGUGGGGGGGAAUACAUACUCUGUCUCAAGGCAAAUCUAAAAAAAUGUAGUAUACACACUGACAACUGGGAAAGUUGGAGAACAGCCUUUACCAAAGGUGUCAUGGGCUUUGAAGACGCUCAAACUCAGGAUGCAAGGGAGAAACGUGCUAAGUGGAAGGCACGCUUGGCAAAUCCACACCGUGAUCAACUACGGCCCGGAAACCAAUGUCCCCACUCUGGAAGGAUGUAUGGAUCCAGAAUUGGCCUCCACAGUCACCUACGGACUCACUGUUAAAACUGUGUUUAUGGAAGACAAUCUUACUCGGCUAUAAGUGAUCGCCGAAGAGGACACACUCCAAGUGCAGAAUCAGUCAUGGGUGCUGACAGGACACUUGUGGCCCUCAGAUUUUAAUAAGCGCCCUGUUGGAUGAAGCCAAGUGCCCAUCUAGUCCACCAUCCUGUUCUCACAAGUGGUCAACUAGGUGCCUCUGGGGAACCUACAUGCAGGACCUGACUGCAACAACCCACUCCCCGCUUGUGAUUCCCAGUGACCAUCAUUCAGAGGAAUACUGCCUUCGACAGUGGAGACAGAGCAUAGCCAUUGCGGCUCGUGAUGACCUGAUCCUCUAUGCAUUUUUAUAAUCCUCUUUUAAAGACAUCCAAGCUGUUGGCCGUCGCUACCUCUUGUAGGUGCAACUUCCACUGUUUUCACUAAGCACUGUGUGAAGUAGUACUUUCUUUUGUCUGUCCCCGAUUCUUCCAAUAUUCAACUUCAUUGGCUGUUAUUGAGUUCUGGUAUUAUGAGACAAGGAGAAAAACUUCCCCUUGAUGCUUUGUCUCUCUUGGCAAGCCAAGCUGAUCUCGUUUUCAGUUUGCUUCGCCAACAUCUAAUGCAAAAUUUAAGAGUGAACCACAGCAGACCUGGAGUUCGGGCUACCAUGAUCGUCUUCCUCCCGCUUCAAGGCUUCGUCAAUUAGGUUUGUUAUGGGAAAGUCCACUUCAAGUCAAAAUAUGGGGCAGCUUUAUUAGGAGCGAGUACCUGGGGUUAGAGUUUUGGCUGCAUCAUUCUUCAUUUCCCUGAAGGCUUGGUGUGGAUUUUCACAGAGUGCCAGAGGUCUGGUGAGCGUCAUGCGCAUUGUCUCUCUUAAGCAGCAAAGCAUUCAUUCCACCCAGAAAGAUGGGGGGGGGGAGAGAAACUCUGUGUCUAUUUGGGCUAUGUUUCAGUUAUGACUCUGAUAUGAAAACUAAGACUAUGUCAAACUUCUGCUUGGGAAACUCAUGGGUAAUUAUACCUCCCUGAUACAAUCUCAGGCCUGUGUUAUUGUGGCUUCUGUGGAUCUCUGAUCUCAUCGUUCUCACAACUCUCCUGGGGCACACUUUGGAGCUCUUUCAGAAACUUUCGGUGUUGAAGUAGAGAGCAUUUCUAUGACUAUCAUUUCUAUGACUAGGAAAGGGACCCAGGUCCUGAUCCUCUCUACAAGUUGUAACACAGAGCUUAUGAACCACUGGACCAAAGCGCUGGGUGGCUUUGCUGAAGGAGAAAGCAUGUUUCUGACAGUUGUCUUAGACUAAUAGUAUCAUAGAAUUGGAAGGGAUCCUGAGGCCCAUCUAGUCCAGCCCCCUGAAAAGCAGGAAUCUCAUCUAAAGCAUCCAUGACAGAUGACCAUCCAACCUCUGCUUAGAAACCUCCAAGGGAAGAGAGUUUGCCACCUUCUGAGGGAGUCCAUUCCACUGUUGAACAGCUCUUACUGUCAGAAAGUUCUUCUUAAUGUUUUGUUGGAAUCUCCUUGUAGUUUAAAUCCAUUGGUUCGGCUCCUACCCUACGGAGCCAGAGUAAAGCAGCUUGCUCCAUUUUCCUUGUGACAGCCCUUUAUAGAUAUUUGAAGAUGGCUAUAAUAUCUCCUCUUAGUCUCCUCUACUUCAGGUUAAACAUAUCCAACUCCCUCAAACCAUUCCUCAUAAGGCUCGGUUUCCAGAACCUUGAUCAUCUUGGUCACCUUCCUUUGCUCGUGUUCCAACUUGUCAAUAUCCUUCUUCAACCCAUGGCCUGGGAAUGAAUGUUAAGCUUCUGACCCACUGGCCCAGAGCAGUGGGUGGCCUUGUUGGAGGAGAGAGCAUUCCAACAGAUGGCCAAUCCUAGAACACAGCCUGGUUCUUUGGCAUUGACUAUCACAAGAUGAGUUGUUGGGCAUUAACAUGGAUUGCUUUAAAAGGGUCUUAGGCAGAAUCAUGGAAUAUGGGGGUUUCAAUGGCUAAUAGUCAAUGGCGAACUAUCUCCAGGAUGAGAGCCAGCGUGCUUCUGAUUACCUGGGAUUCUUUAUCUGUGAUUCCUGCAUUGUAAGGGGUUGGACUAGAUGACGCUUGGGUACCUCCCAACAGUACAGUUCUAUGAUUCUGUACACAACUAAUAUGGUCCAGCACAUUCUUUUUGUAAAGCCAUUUCAGUUGGUUUCCCCCCUUCUUUAAAAAAACAAUAAAGUGGUAAGUUAAUUUCAUGAAAUAAAUAAAUGUGUACAUUCACACACAAAAGCAAGCACCAUGUUUCUGGUGUUCCCAACAAAAUGCAAGCCAACAACAACAACAACAACAACAACAACAACAACAACAACAAUAUCCUGUACAUAUCAGUGUGUGUUUGAUGGAUUGAUAAAAUUGCUGGUGUGUGUGUGUGUUCCUAGUGAGAGCAGGUAGGGAGCAGAGCAGCUGUGCAGAUUUAUCACACCCCUGUGACCAAAGGGGUUCCAAUUCCCAGGCACACAAUCACACUUCAGCUGCAGUGAGGCCUGUCACCACUUGGAUCAUCGCAGCUUAAGCUGACCCAUAAAAAUCAGGGUGUAAGGUUCUUCUAACCAGACCAAUUCAACCCCCUGCCCCGGGCUUGCUUUGCUCUCAUCAUGACCAUUUUAAUUUCACUAUGCAGGGUGGGGGUUUUUCUCUCUGCAAUAGUUCUCACAACUCUAGGUAGCUCAUUACUGAGUUUUGCAGUGGGUAUUUCUAGAGAGCUGAUGGGUCUCCGUCUCCGACAGAGGCAUCAUGUUCUUAAAGAACAUUCCUUAAGGGAUCCUUUAAAGCCUUCCCUAAUUUUUAGCUUUAGCCAUCUUGCAAAUAUUCAGACGAGGGAUGGGCAUUGUCAGAUCCAUCGUGAACUCAUUUCGACUGGGCUUUUGGGCAGGAGGGGUUGGGGGGAGGGUGGCAAUGUUUUGUGGCUUUUCUCAGGGCCAUGCAAGAGUGAGGUUGAAGAGCCGAAUGUAUUCCGAGCAACAGACGUCUUGAUUGAUUUAUGCGCCCAGCUCUCGAGCAGAAACGAUAUAAGCAAGCAAUAAAUCACGGGCUUUGCAGAAGGCAAAACGAUUGCCCGAGACUUGUUUAAGCAAAGCACUCAAAGGAUUUUUUUUUAAAGAAAAAAAACUUAGAAAGAGAGAGGCGGAAAGUGUCUAUUUUGAAUUAACUAGAAAUGGGCAACCCUCCCCACCAUACCUAUUUCUCUGAUUCAUAAUUGAUCGGUGGCGUGGGAUGUGGGGGGGGGGAAUGAUUAAUUCAGCCCUUGUUUAGACUAAAACUAUGUCUGGGCUGCAGUACUUUAAAUGAGGACCGCUAUCACUGGCAUGCUCCUAUGCAUACACCAAGAGGAAAUAUAAUAAAGUUAAGAAUCCCCACACAUAGACAUCCAGCAUGUUAGAGGAAGAGGCUUGAACCCUUCUUCCUAUACAUCCUAGUUUUCCUUGUGCAGAAGAUUCAGCACUGAACACCUUAACUUGCUCUCUGAAGUGCUACUGUCCAAGUCUGCCACCUCAGUGAGAAGCAGGCUGCAGAAGUUUCCCACUGGAUGUCUGAGCAUUAAUCUGUUUGCUAGUUUCUGGAUCAGUUAACAACUUGGAAUGCUUCUCUAAGCAUCCAACAGUAUCCUUUGAGACUGGGAUAUAAAUUUAAAUAAACAAAUACCGUACUUUUCCGUGUAUAAGACGCCCCCUAUUUUGGGGGACUGAAAUUUCAGAAAAUGGGGGGAAAUGGCAAAAAGUUGAUGAGCUUUUUUUAAGGGGGGGGGGAAUACCAAAAAUCGCUCACCCGAACAUGUUGCAAAAUCCACUCCCAUCUGUACCCUCGCCAGCAGAAGCUGCCAAUUGCCUGCCCAAUUGCCCAUGCAUAAAACAACCCCCACUUUUUAGCAUGAUUUUUAAGGGGGGGCUAGUCUUAUACAUGGAAAAGUACGGUAAGUAGCAUCACCAGCUACUUGAAAGGACUUUAGAGUACACCCUGCACAUUAAUAUUUAUUUAAAACAUUUAUAAACUGCUUAAUAUAUCACUGCUUAAUUCAAUGAGUAAUUACUCCCAAAUAUGUGUGCUUAAGAUGGAGUUUCCAUUUUGCACAGAUUAGUGUAGGUGCUUCUGCUCCUCUUUUUUGUCCAAAGAAGCUUAUGCUAUGUGUAUAUUAAAUAUUUUGUAAAAGCACAAUUAAAAUGCAUGAAGCCACCAAGAGAUAGAAGUCCAAAAAAUUAUCAUAAAGAUAAAUAUCACAGUGUCUGGAACAGGUCCAGUGGCUCCCGAACUUUUCCCCGCAUGAACUGCUUGAAAAUUUCUGAGGAUCUUGGUGGACCACGUAAUGACCCCCACCCCUCUGCCCUCCGUACAAAGGCAACAUUCAAAUACAUUGCUCUCCUCACUUUUGCAUCUGGCCCUCUUCAGCACUGGCAUGUGGCCCCCAGAAAGUUGCUCAGAAUGGCAUGAGGCUCUCAGCGUGAAAAAGGUUCCCUUCCUCUGAUCUUGUUUCCCAGAGUGUCACAGCAGAUGCCUCUGGAAAGCUCCAAAGAAGAUGCAUGGAGUAACCCCCUCCUACUUCUGCUGCAGGGCAGCUGGUGUUCAGAGGAAUGCAGUCUCCAAUUAUUUCAGACAAUAGUGCAUGCGCAGCGGUCUGAAGAAAGUCCAGAAAUUAAAACAAAACAGAAAAACUGGCAAAAUGCUGACACAUUGAUGCAACUGUGGAUGCUUGAUAAGAUGAUUCAGAAGCCAUAAUUCAACAGAAACAUUAAGAUGGGGUUGUUGGUUAAGGAUCCAUCAUCCUUCUUGUGAAUUUCUAAGGGGAUCUUGGCUGCAUCUGUGGAAACAUUGUGUCCAGAGUUCAAGAAAUAAUGGUAGUGCUCUGUUCUGUUUUGGGCUGACACCCUGUGGAGUCCUGUGUCCAGUUCUGUGCAGUUUAAGAUGGAUAUUGAGGUGCUAGAACAUAUCAGCAAAGACCUGGAGCCCAGGUGUGAUUAUGAAAAGUUGAAGGAGUUUGGGUAUGUUUAGUCUGGAGAAGAGAAAAUUAAGAGAUGGUAGGAUCAUCAUUUUCAGAUAUUCAGUGGGCUGUUUUACAGAAGAUGGAAUAAAUCUUUUGGACAUAGGAAGCUGCCUGAUACCAUAUUUGACCAUUGGUUCAUCUAGUUCAGUAUUGUCUACUCUGGCUGGCAGUAGCUCUCCAGGGUUUCAGGUAAGGGUCUUUUCCAGCCUUACCUGGAGAUGUUGGGGGUCGAAGCAGAGGCCUUCUGCAUGCAAGGAAGAUUCUCUACCAAUGAACUAUGGCCCUUCCCAAUAGACCCUAUGCAUGUCCCGUGUCUAUGAAAUACUGAAUUUCUGCUGGAUGGGUUUGCAUUCUUUGGUUGGACAAUAACAAUGCAAUAUUCAGGAGAAUUGAGAAUUUCAAGAAUGGUGUUUUGGUUCACAUAUUGUUUCAGGAAGUGAAAAAUUGAGAAGUAAGCUAAAUGAAAUAAAUGAAUUCAUCCCACCAUCCCAAAUGGGAGACCACAGAAAAUUGAAGGAAUGGAAUGGGGGAAGAUUGCUCUCCUCUGGGUCUGAUCCAGAAGGCGAUGCUUAUGUUCCAACUUCUCCAGAUCCUUCCUUUUGCUGAGGCCUCUUUGUGAAGCUCUCCUGUGGUAUGGUAGCUGUGACUUCUUAGCUUAUAUUGUCUCCUGCCUUCAGGUAUAUGCUUAAGUCCAAGAUAAACACUUCCUCAGCCCCCUCAUUUAUUGCUGAUCUAAACGCCCAUAAAGCUCACCACUAUGCUUGCUAUCAUGCCCUCUAUCGCCUUUUUGCAAAAUGUAAUCCAUAAAAUGCUUUCAUGGUAACCCAAGACAUCAGCGGACAGCGAUAAGAUCUCCAGGCCCCCGUGACAGGCAGGAACUUGCAAGGAUGGAGUUAAUAACGCAAACUUUUGAAAAAAAUGAAACUGGCAGAAGGAGAUGGGGAAGGGAAUAAAAAGGGCCGGUGUGGUUCUAAUUGGGACCAUGUGAGUCUCCUUAGAGAAGGAUUAGAGGAAAGAGACAGGCCUCGCCCGGGAAGAUUAGUUUCAAUUAGAUGGGCUGGAGGCGAAAGUCAGGACUUGGUGAAAGAUUAAAACAAGGAGGGAGAAAGUUUGCAUAGCUUUCGCUUGGGGCCUGCAAAGGAGGGUUCAUUGAGAUUCGGAUAAUUGAAGGCAAAAAGCUAGGAAGAAGUCACAUUAAUUGAUUUGAUACUGCCUUUUUUUUGCUCCCCUAACCCACUUUGCAAUUUUGUUCCUUAGCUUCCCCCAACCAUAUGUGCCCCUGGCAUUUUAUAAACCCUCUCCUUUUGGAAAUUGGAAAUAUGGUGCCUGGAAUAUUCACGGGAUAUUGCACAUGAGAUAUGCUACUUACCAAAGGCGGUUUGCUGCUUUGAAAUAGUUGCAUUAUGGUGGAUUGGACCCCUCAUGCAAAUCAGCAAGGCGGCCAACUGACUGCUGGCAUAGCUUCUGUAGGGCUGCUGCACUGGGGCUGAACCUGAUUUUCCUGAAAAUGGUUCCAAGUUCAAUUCCCAGCAGAUAGAAGUCUUAUCAAGCUCUGCCGGAAAUCCUGGAUAGCUGCUGCCAGACAGCGAAGACCAAGUGUGGUGUCCCCAAAUGCUGUGGGACUACAACUCUCAUCGGCCCCAACCAACAUGGCCAAUGGUUAAGGAUGAUGGGAGUUGUAGUCCAACAACAUCUGGAGGGCAACACCCAGACUAUUCCUGGCACAGACAACCCCGAGUGAGAUGGACCAACAGGCAGACUCAGUACAAGGUAAUUCUCAAGGUAAUUCCAAUUGUUGACUGGACAACUCAUAGUUUUUAUGGUCACCUUUCAGCUUUGCAUCAAGUAUCCUGAACUAAAUCAAUGCUGUCACUGUUACUACCAAACAGCUAAACUCCCCUUUUCACAUGUUACAAGGGCAGCUGUCCCAGCGGGUUGGUUUUCCUUCGAGGAGAUCUUAAGUUAGGAUUUGGUUCCACUGUGGUCUUUACAAAACUACAGUAUGGGAGCUUUUCCUUCCAGCUGUUAUAACACUUAUAAACAUCCCAUUGCUGUACUCUCCCCAUAAACACAAAUCUGCCCAAGCAGUCCAGGAGAGAUGAGCAGUGAUGUAAAAAUUCACUUUCCAACACGUUGAAGGGUUAGGCAGGGUUUUUUGUUUUGUUUUUUCUUUUGACGGGGUGUGUGGAAGUGGCAGAUAUCCAAUUUGGGGAGAAAUAUUUCCAGGUGAACCAUCACUAGACUUGGCUAUGCCCCUCAGGAACAGGAUAUGCAUUAAAAAUUGAGAAAACAAUUUUUUCAAUCUAUCAACAGAUAGUUUUAACACUAAAAGCAGGAAUGAUCACGGUGGUAAUGACAUUGUCAAAUAUCCUCCUGAAUUUUGACUACAAAGCCCAUGAUGCAGUGUGACUAUGAUCACAGCAUACAUGUUCAGAAAAAUCUGUAUCCCAUAAGAUAUCCAUUCAUUUUCAAAAUGUCUGUGUGCGCCACUCAUCAGAUAAAGAGUCACUAGCAAAGUGAAUAUUACAAUGCAAUAUUCGUAAUAAAAACGUUAUUGAUAUGAUUAGUGCUGUCCAAGCAUGCCCAAAAAGUGCAAGUAGAUAAAUAGGUACUGCUCCGGUGGGAAGAUAAAUGGUGUUUCCAUGCGCUGCUCUGGUUUCGCCAGAAGCGGCUUAAUCAUGCUGGCCACAUGACCCGGAAAAGCUGUCUGCGGACCAACGCCGGCUCCCUCGGCCUGUAAAGCGAGAUGAGCGCCUCAACCACAGAGUCGUCCGCAACUGGACUUAACUGUCAGGGGUCCUUUACCUUUACCUUUACAUUUAUUUUCCUCCCCAAGGUGACUUAACAAUAUCAGGAAACAAAAUUCCUGACAUAAUCAAAGGCCGGAGUAAAUUAUGUCUUCACCUGGUGCUCAAAAGACAACAGACCCAGAACACGACUCUCUCUG